UUUAGUUGGAGGGCAAUUGAGACAAUUAACCUUAUGCAUGUGAACUUAAGGCUUGUUUGGAUUGAUAGUGCUUCAUAAAUCAGAUUUUUGGGAGAAAGAAGAAAGGAAUAGCCAUUGAAGCAAAGAGAAGGAAGAAGAACUCAUGAAGCAAGUUCUAUUUUCGCAACUAUUGAUACAGCCCCACUAAAUCAGGUUUGAAGUAGAGUGAUCCAUGCUGAGUUUGUGUGUGACUGCAGCUGCGAAUUUGAUGAUGAAGAAGGUGAACCUUUGGGCAAGAAGGGAGUUCAAAGGCUGCAUUAACACCACCUAAAUCUCUAUUAACCCAAGGUGUGGUUUAGUAGCGUUUGGUCAGUAACAGGUUUGGACUGAAGACUUGGAAGUGGUGUUGACUCGAAGACCUCGUUGGUUUUGACAUUCCGCUGUGCAAGAUCCAUUGAAGACUCAUGUAUUAUGUUUCCUAGUAGAAUUUCAUGUUGUAUUUUAUAUGGAUCUUUCUAUAACUAUAGCUUUUGUAUGUACUCAAAUACCAAUUUUUAACGUUUCAUGCAUAAUAUACUAGUCAGUUAUGUAUGGGGUGUUACAGUUGGUAUCAGAGCAGGUCGAUUCUCGGCCGAGCCAUGAGACAUCACUAGCAAUUCCUUUUCCUCCUCUCAAGUGUGUGUUGCUAGCCUGAUUUUACUGAUAUCUCAUUCAGUUGUUGAACUUGAUCAACUCAUCGACUGAGUGUGAGACAGUAGGAUUACGGCAGAGCCGCCACGAGGACUCGUAAAACCUGCAAGGUUGUGAACCCAAGUAGUUGGAGUGGGAUGAGUAAUGGAUUGUUUGGAUGUUUUAAGUGGAUGAUAUUGGAGUCGUCAAGCUUAAGGAGAGCGUUUGACGCAAAGGAGUAAUACCCGAACUGUCAAAGUGUGGAUUGAGACAGCUAGAACCCCCAGGAUUUUGAUUGGACGAAGUGAAAUUCUCUAAGUCUUGGUAAUAGAAGGGAAAUCCAAAUGAGAUUGAGUAGGAGCCUUGUAAGGGAGAUUCUCCGAAGGUGUUGAGCUGUGAAUUAGUAGGAUUCAGUACUGAUGAUGUUGCCGGUGUUAAGUGUGUUGGGUGAGCUGAUAGGACAAAAUAACCUUUGGAAAUGCGGAUAGAGGAGUCAGACCUUUCUGUUUGUGCUAGUACGGACAGUAAAUGGAUGGAUGAAGUAUUAGAUCCUGAUCCAACUUGAAGUACCUUAAGUGAGAGUAGUUACCUAGUAGAUGUUGGUGGAAUGUAUGAGUUUGGUAACUUAAGAUUGGCGAAGCUUGAAUACCUUGUCGGUGGAAGAGGGCAUGCAUUUCCGUCCUUAUCAUUUUGUAUUUAAGUUCUAGAACUACGCUAGAUGGAAUAUGAAAUGAUGUAGAAGCGUGAGAUGCAGUGACCUAAGUUCUUGUUAGUUGUUGUUUGUCUGACCCCGAGUGAAGCCAUAGAACUACGCUUGGCGUUGGGCGUUCAGGCGAGUAAGAACUAAGAUCUAUCUGGAACGUCAGUAGGAUAAUCGCAGUUGAGUUGGUUGUUAGGAACCAUAGUAUUCCUAUCUGAACUGAAUUAUCCUUGGAAUCUCAUGCAUGCGUGGGACGAGUGGGUACGCGCACUGCAUGGUGAUCCGAAGUUGAACUUCAAAUCUUCGUGCUUUCCGUUUUGGCUUUCCAAGUAAGUAAACCUUGAAUUGUAGCACUCUCAGGUUUUAGCAUCCUGAGUAGUAUGAUUCGAAGGAUUUGAGGAACGACGAGCCUAUUGGAAGCCUGUUCAGACACUUGUCGGAUGUGACUUUAGGAUACGUGUGGGGAUCGUUAUACGCCACAGAGGUAGAUUACCUGGAUACAUGGCCUCGGAUUUGGUCCACCAUGUUGGUACUACCAGAUGGGUAUGAUGCCACAGUAUCGCUAUCGGGCACAAGAUGCGUUAGUCAUCCUUUUUCUGACGUAUGUGUGACAAAGGUGAUAUGAAGCUCAAGGUAGAAUUCUGAUUUGGCACUCGUGAGACACAAAUCCAAACUCUCAUAAGGUAUGUGGGAUGAGGAUCCAUAUGUCGUGCUCGAUAGUAGAGGAAUAACUAGACAGCCGAUGGUGAAAUGGAUCAAGAUCCAAUACUAUACUUAUGGAGACCCUGAGUGAUCGUGAUCGCGUGAGUUAGUAUCAGAUUGUACCUUGGGGACGUUCUUGUUUCGUGAAGUGUUAAGUUGGAAAUCUUGCAUAAGUGCCUAGAGUAAGACUCAUGUGCGUUCGUGAGAUCCUGGUCAGCAUAGUAAGUGGAUAUCAUGUGCCAUUGGCGACCGGUGAUGAAAUAUGCGAGUUGUAUCUUGUACUAGUUCGAUGUGUGAUGUGUCUGGUAGGGUAUUGCUAGAUACUUUAAGUGGAGAAGUGUUAAUCUUGGUAAAUCAUGGACAUUUUGGUCUGAGAACUGCUAAGGAGUUUAUAAGAGAGAUGUUCGAAGUGCAAAGUGCAAUUUCUUGCACUGUGGCUACACUCUGACUGUUAGAAGCACCACAAUGAAGGAUGCAGCCGCCGAGGAAGUCAGUUUAGGUCAGAGGUGGAACAGACAUUAGAUGACUGUGUGAAUGGAGUGUGGCUAUGGGAGAAUUGUAUAUCAGUAAGUCGCACGAGUUAUCAGAGGUGAUACUACGCUAAGAGAAUGAAAGUGUACGGUUGGGUAGAAGUUGUGUAAAACUGCUAGAGUUAUCAUGAGCUGCAGUACGUUUCUGGAGAGUUAGUCAUAACAUAGUAAAUGUACGCUGUGGAAAUCAGUGACAAGGACGAACCUCUAAGUCAGUAAGUAUUUGGGUUCAAUGUCCUGAGGAUGAAACGUGUACCUAAAUUGUGGUAGAUGAACUAUAUGGAAUGGCAGAGUAAGUAGAAGCUUGAUUCUGGAGAGUACGGAACUUCGAAUAGUAGUAGUCGACGAUGGAUGUAUAUAGAGUUCUGGCACGUGUUGUAAUUGGACAACUGUGGAUAAGGAAUUAUUGCGUAUUAAUGGAAACUAAGUGAAUUAUGGAUAUAACGUGACUCAGAGGAUUUCAAGGUGUGUGGCUUGUUGGAAUCAGAGUAGCGCAACGGAUCAAGGAAGAAUCAGAUAAGUCGGAGGUAGGAACGAACGGACUUUUGUAAGAUUUUAUGUUGGGAUGAAAGUAUCUUGCUAAGGGAAAUUGUCGAAGCAGCAUUUUGUUCGUUCUAGUUUCUCAAGGAUCACCAUAACUCGAGAGGUGUUGACAAUGGACCAGCUUGGGAAUACAUUUUGUGGAUGGCAUGCGGUCCGACGUUCGUGGGUCAUCAGUUUAGCUUGCAAGUCACAAGGGUUGGACUGAGUAUCAGACCGUCGAAAUGCUGAAGGCUAGAGAGGACAUUCAGUUGGCGCAAGUUCUUUGUGGUUAUGCUUUGUGUACUAUGAUUGUACAGGAAGACUGGUACAAUGGUUACAGGUCAGUUGUUGAAUUUCGUGUCUUAUCAGUAGAAUCUUGUUCGAAGUUGUCGAAUGUCAAGGCGAUAGUCGCAAGACGAUUGCACCUUCGCGGUUUAUGGUAACAGUUGUAUAAGUAAAGAUAAAUUUGGAACUAUCAUCCUAAGACUUUAGGAACCAGAGGUUAAGACCGAGGAAUUUGGAGAUCACCUAAUGACAUUGUAUGGACUCGAAUGGAGAAUAAUUUGAAGUGUUAUCGCAGAAGUGACGUGGUGGCA